AAAAAUAUUAGUGAUGAUCGCAUAGUUCAGAUGAUUUGUGAUUACUACUGUCAUGUCUUUCGCUCCUAACUGACUGUUUUU